rnacentral:sRNA from 1 species
AUUUCAAGAAGUCGAUCGAAAAGAAAGCCCCAGCGCUCUAGAGCUCAGCUGACGGGAAAGGGGGUGCGCAGCCUCGAGUUUGAGAGCUACCCGGAGCCCGAAGACAGGAGCCGGACCAUGGGAACCCCAAAGCCACGGAUCCUGCCCUGGCUGGUGUCGCAGCUGGACCUGGGGCAACUGGAGGGCGUGGCCUGGGUGAACAAGAGCCGCACGCGCUUCCGCAUCCCUUGGAAGCACGGCCUACGGCAGGAUGCACAGCAGGAGGAUUUCGGAAUCUUCCAGGCCUGGGCCGAGGCCACUGGUGCAUACGUUCCCGGGAGGGAUAAGCCAGACCUGCCAACCUGGAAGAGGAAUUUCCGUUCUGCCCUCAACCGCAAAGAAGGCUUGCGUUUAGCAGAGGACCGGAGCAAGGACCCUCAUGACCCACACAAAAUCUACGAGUUUGUGAACUCAGGUCUGCCAGAUUGGGGUUCGUGUGGGAGGCUGGGGCCCCAAGGGUUCCUGGCACGCCUACUCCCCUCACCACCUUUCUCAACAGGAGUUGGGGACUUUUCCCAGCCAGACACCUCUCCAGACACCAAUGGCGGAGGCAGUACUUCUGAUACCCAGGAAGACAUUCUGGAUGAGUUACUGGGUAACAUGGUGUUGGCCCCACUCCCAGAUCCGGGACCCCCAAGCCUGGCUGUAGCCCCUGAGCCCUGCCCUCAGCCCCAGCAGAGCCCCAGCUUGGACAAUCCCACUCCCUUCCCAAACUUGGGGCCCUCUGAGAACCCACUGAAGCGGCUGUUGGUGCCGGGGGA